rfam:Eucalyptus grandis cultivar BRASTZ1 unplaced genomic scaffold scaffold_9, whole genome shotgun sequence.
UCCUUAGUAGCUUAAUGGUAGAGCGAUCGGUUAUUAACUAAUUGGUCGUAGGUUCGAAUCCUACUUGAGAAG